UACGUAGGGUGCAGGCGUUUAAUCGGAAUUACUGGGCGUAAAGGGCGCGUAGGCGGCCUGUUAAGUCGAACGUGAAAUCCCCGGGCUCAACCCGGGAACUGCGUCCGAUACUGGCAGGCUUGAAUCCGGGAGAGGGAUGCGGAAUUCCAGGUGUAGCGGUGAAAUGCGUAGAUAUCUGGAGGAACACCGGUGGCGAAGGCGGCAUCCUGGACCGGCAUUGACGCUGAGGCGCGAAAGCCAGGGGGAGCAAACGGGG
rnacentral:rRNA from 1 species